AAUUCUCAACCUUACUGAUUUGUUUCGAGUGAGGCUUGGAUUUGGAGUGUGCUGGUCCCCCUGGGGGUCGGCUCCUCUUUAAAUGCAUCAGCGGAGUCAUCUUUGACUUUCGGUAUCAGUGUGAUAAUCAUGUUGCACUGUUGGCCAAGGUCUCAGUCCGCUUAUAAUCGUCUUCGGACAGCUUAUCAAA
rnacentral:misc_RNA from 1 species